UGAAUACGAGACGCUAAGGCGUCGAAGUAGUGUAUGUCAUACUUCCAAGAAAAGCUUGCACUGUCAUAAGUAAAAAAUGCCUGUACCAUAACCGACACAGGUGGGUAGGUAGAGUAUACUAAGGGGCGCGAGAUAACUCUCUCUAAGGAACUCGGCAAAAUGACUCCGUAACUUCGGGAGAAGGAGUGCCUUAUUUAUAAGGUUGCAAUAACAAGAUCCAAGCAACUGUUUAUCAAAAACACAGGUCUCCGCUAAGUCGUAAGACGAUGUAUGGGGGCUGACGCCUGCCCAGUGCCAGAAGGUUAAAGAAGUUGGUUAGCGUAUGCGAAGCUGAUGACUGAAGCCCUGGUGAACGGCGGCCGUAACUAUAACGGUCCUAAGGUAGCGAAAUUCCUUGUCGGGUAAGUUCCGACCCGCACGAAAGGCGUAAUGAUUUGGAUACUGUCUCGGAGAGAGGCUCGGUGAAAUAGACUUGUCUGUGAAGAUGCGGACUACCUGCACCAGGACAGAAAGACCCUAUGAAGCUUUACUGUAACUUGAAAUUGGAAUUGGACUUUGCUUGCGCAGUAUAGGUGGGAAGCGUUGAAGAUAUUCUUGCGGGAGUAUUGGAGCUAUCAGUGAGAUACCACUCUUGUAAUGUUAGAUUUCUAACUUUGAACCAUAAUCUGGUCAAAGAACAGUUUCAGGUGGGCAGUUUGACUGGGGCGGUCGCCUCCCAAAUGGUAACGGAGGCGUACAAAGGUUUCCUCUGAACGGAUAGAAAUCGUAUCUAGAGUGUAAAGGCAUAAGGAAGCUUGACUGUGAGACCUACAAGUCGAGCAGGGACGAAAGUCGGUCUUAGUGAUCUGACGGUACUGAGUGGAAAGGCCGUCACUCAACGGAUAAAAGUUACUCUAGGGAUAACAGGCUGAUCUCCCCCAAGAGUUCACAUCGACGGGGAGGUUUGGCACCUCGAUGUCGGCUCAUCGCAUCCUGGGGCGGUAGUACGUCCCAAGGGUUGGGCUGUUCGCCCAUGAAAGCGGUACGCGAGCUGGGUUCAGAACGUCGUGAGACAGUUCGGUCCAUAUCCGGUGUAGGCGUUAGAAUAUUGAGAGGAGCCUUCUUUAGUACGAGAGGACCGAGAAGGACACACCGCUGGUGUACCAGUUAUCGUGCCAACGGUAAACGCUGGGUAGCUAUGUGUGGAGUGGAUAACCGCUGAAAGCAUCUAAGUGGGAAGCCCACCUCAAGAUGAGUAUUCUC
rnacentral:rRNA from 1 species